UGAAACACGGACCAAGGAGUUUAUCGCAUAUGCGAGUUAUUGGGUGAUGAAAACCUAAUGGCGUAAUGAAAGUAAAGGUUUCGCUUGCGGAGCUGAUAUGUGAUCCGGGUGCCUUUCGAGGCUUCGGCGCAGCAUAGCCCCAUCUCUAAUGCUUGCAUUGGGGUGGAGGAAGAGCAUAUACGAUGAGACCCGAAAGAUGGUGAACUAUGCCUGGGCAGGAUGAAGCCGGAGGAAACUCUGGUGGAAGUCCGUAGCGGUUCUGACGUGCAAAUCGAUCGUCUGACCUGGGUAUAGGGGCGAAAGACUAAUCGAACCAUCUAGUAGCUGGUUCCCUCUGAAGUUUCCCUCAGGAUAGCUUUGACCAGGAAAACUCAGUUAUACUCGGUAAAGCGAACGAUUAGAGGUCUUGGGGGCGAAAUGCUCUCAACCUAUUCUCAAACUCUUAAUGGGUAUGAUGUGUGGCUUGCUUAAUGUGAAGUCGCACGUUGAAUGAGUUGGUCAAAAGUGGGCCAUUUUUGGUAAGCA
rnacentral:rRNA from 1 species